CUCUAUCUCUAUCUAUAUCUUCUUCUCCUCCUUCUCUCUAGAACCUUCUGGUUCUCCUUCUCCGAUGGCCUUCACCGUCUCUCCGGCCACCUCCAGCCUCGCCUAUUUCGACCACCAGUUGCCUUGAAGCCUUAUCUUACCGGUUCCUUCCGCCCAUGAGACUCCAGGAGUCUUCACCAUGCAAAAUGUUCACUGAAGCUUUGCUGGGGUUCCGCCUUUUUUCGAUGGAUUUUGGUCCGAUGGUGCUGUAAAUACCACUAUUCUCGAGUUUCACAACCAGGUUUCACUUGUUUCUCUAACUGGUUUCAUAUAAAACCCUAAUCUCGAUCCAAACCUCUCAAACCGCUGAUUUUUUUUAAUGAUUUUAACUCGUACCUUUAUGUUUUGCACUAUUUUCUACUCGAUCUUUACGAUUACUCCAUUUUUAAACAUUUUGUUCCCUUUUUGAAACUAGUGUUUCUGAACCCCUUUUCGAAAUAACUUUAUUUUCUAAUUUUGAGUACGAAUUGGUGAUUCUUAGUACUAUUCCUAAACUUCUUUCUUAUGACUAAUCAAAACCCUAACCUUAUACGUUUGUGUUUGUAUUGUCUGCUUGUUUGUGUGUUCUUCUCUAAGUUCCGUUUUCUUUGCUUUAAUUUUGGCUACUAGUGUUCAUUCUCCUACCAUUAUGUGUUCUCUAUUUAAGGUAUCUCUGACUGUUUUAAUGACGAUUUUAUACUGAUUCUUACAAGCCCUCUUUGAGAUUGUGAUACUUGCCUUAAAAUUGGAUUCUGCGUAUUAUUUUCGAAUUUCUUCCUCACUCCGCGAGAUACUUUCCUCUAAUUAAUAUUGGGCUCUUAAGUUUUCAAUCUCGUUCAUGAUUUUUUGGGACUAUUUUCUUGAAUUUGAGUUGUAUCCUGCCCUACACGUGUGCACGAAUAUGUUGAUUGAUUUGGCUGACCUAUUUCCCUAAUUAGAGUAUCAUGUACCUAGUCUUUAUUGCACACUUUAUACUAUUCUGCUUCCUUAUGUGAUCAUGCCAUGCUUGUGAUUUAUUUCCUUUUAAAUAGUUGUUCAUUACCGUUUGACUUUGAUUCCUUAAUUAAAGGGAGUCCAUAUAUUGAAUUUAUUAUGAUUGAUUCCAGUUCCUUGAUUAGGGGCUGCUACCUUUUUUGUUUGCUCGUAUUCAGUACUAUAAGUACCCCCCUCCCCCCACUCUCUUUUGCAUGACACGAACACAUUGCAUAUCACAAACACACAUAUAUAGUAAUCACAUUGCUCUCUCUUGUGAUAUUUCUCUCAUUUUCUCUCUUGUGCUAUUGUUGUUCCCUACUACUGACUGUCAUUAGCUAGCUGAAAGGCUAAGGCUAAUAUCAUGCUUAUACUUGGCUCUUGCAUUCCGCUGUGCUCUCCUUGUUGCUGGUAUGUCCUGAUUGAAUUCCACGAUCCAAACCAAGGUGUUCAUUACUACUUCAGUAGGUGCUAUUCCUAAUCGUUUUCUACUUAUUUUUCUGAUGUGCAACAUGUGAUUGAUUCCUGGUUUGGCUGUUGGAACUUAUAUGCUCAUGAUUACUGUUCACUUGUUAUGACUGAAUUCUAUUGUUACUUACUUUGUGUCUAAAUCCCACUAUGUCAAGAUCUCUUAAAGCUUUUGGUUUUUGAGUUUGCAUGUGAUUUAUUUGUCCCCUUUACCCAUUACCCUUGUGUGCAACUCUCUAAUUUACUUUUUUAUACUCUUUGAGCUACCAAUUUUCCUCUCCUUCUUGCACUUGACACUACUCGAGAUUAGGUUCUACCCCCUUCUAGUAAGCAUUGUUAUGGGUUCCUCUGAGUACUCACUGAACUUUGACGCACAAGGCUGGUAAUUUCACACUUCAUUUGUUCAACAUUUUUGUAAUUGUAUGGGUGCUCGUAUUGGCCAAGGACCCAAUGGUGACCCUAGGGAGCUUUGGCGUACCCUGACCAUGUCAAGGCUGUGAAGUUCGAAAGGAGUGAGGUUGGAAGAAUGGGCAUGAUUGAACUCUCCCUAUAGAAUAACUUCUUAUUUUUAUUCUUUACUAUUGUAAUUAAGCUAUCAGUGGUUGUAGGAACUUUUAUGUGCAUUAGACAUCCUGUGACUUAGAGUUUUAUUUUGUCUGAGUUGUAAUCGUAAAC
rnacentral:lncRNA from 1 species